rnacentral:rRNA from 1 species
UUUUGGACAAAUGGGCGAAAGCCUGAUCCAGCAAUGCCGCGUGUGGGAAAGAAGGCCUUCGGGUUGUAAACCACUUUUGUGCAGAACGAAACGGUCCGCUUUUAUACACUGGGCUAAUGACGGUACCGUAAGAAUAAGCACCGGCUAACUACGUGCCAGCAGCCGCGGUAAUACGUAGGGUGCGAGCGUUGUCUCGGAAUUAUUGGGCGUAAAAGCGUGCGCAGGCGGGUUAUAUAAGACAGUUGGAAAAUCCCCGGGCUCAACCUGGGAAUUGCAUCUAAACCCCCAAGCUAGAGUCCGGAAGAGGGGAAUGGAAUUCCGGGUGUAGCAGUGAAAUGCGCAGAUAUCAGGAAGAACACCGAUAGGAAGCAAUCUCCCUGGACCGUACUGACGCUGAUCACGAA